AUUGAACGCUGGCGGCAGGCUUAACACAUGCAAGUCGAGCGGAGAUGAGGUGCUUGCACCUUAUCUUAGCGGCGGACGGGUGAGUAAUGCUUAGGAAUCUGCCUAUUAGUGGGGGACAACAUUCCGAAAGGAAUGCUAAUACCGCAUACGUCCUACGGGAGAAAGCAGGGGAUCUUCGGACCUUGCGCUAAUAGAUGAGCCUAAGGCGGAUUAGCUAGUUGGUGGGGUAAAGGCCUACCAAGGCGACGAUCUGUAGCGGGUCUGAGAGGAUGAUCCGCCACACGGGGACUGAGACACGGCCCAGACUCCUACGGGAGGCAGCAGUGGGGAAUAUUGGACAAUGGGGGAAACCCUGAUCCAGCCAUGCCGCGUGUGUGAAGAAGGCCUUAUGGUUGUAAAGCACUUUAAGCGAGGAGGAGGCUACUGAGACUAAUACUCUUGGAUAGUGGACGUUACUCGCAGAAUAAGCACCGGCUAACUCUGUGCCAGCCGCCGCCGUAA
rnacentral:rRNA from 1 species